GAUGAACGCUGGCGGCGUGCUUAACACAUGCAAGUCGAACGGUGAAGCAGAGCUUGCUCUGUGGAUCAGUGGCGAACGGGUGAGUAACACGUGAGCAACCUGCCCCUGACUCUGGGAUAAGCGCUGGAAACGGCGUCUAAUACUGGAUAUGAGCUGCGACCGCAUGGUCAGCAGUUGGAAAGAUUUUUCGGUCUGGGAUAGGCUCACGGCCUAUCAGCUUGUUGGUGAGGUAAUGGCUCACCAAGGCGUCGACGGGUAGCCGGCCUGAGAGGGUGACCGGCCACACUGGGACUGAGACACGGCCCAGACUCCUACGGGAGGCAGCAGUGGGGAAUAUUGCACAAUGGGCGAAAGCCUGAUGCAGCAACGCCGCGUGAGGGAUGACGGCCUUCGGGUCGUAAACCUCUUUUAGCAGGGAAGAAGCGAAAGUGACGGUACCUGCAGAAAAAGCGCCGGCUAACUACGUG
rnacentral:rRNA from 1 species